ACGAGGUGAGGGGGCUGACAGCGGCAGGUGUCGAAGCUACACCAUGACGGACUCCGCCGGCGAAGUAGGCGCGCGAGAGUGAAACGCGACGACAUUGGCGGGGAACGGUCGAAGUAGGGGUGCAUGUGGUUUAAUGCGAAGAGCCGCGAAGAACCUGACCGAAGUGUGACAUCCCAAGGACGUGUCGUGAAUCGGUGAGUUCUCUUCGGGGACAUUGGUGACAGGUGGUGCAUGGUUGGCGUCAGCUCGUGUCGUGGGAUGUUGGGUUAAGUCCCGCAACGGGCGCAACCCUUGUCUUUAGUUGCAAUCAUUAAGUUGGGCACUCUAGCGAGACUGCCAGGGAUAACCUGGAGGAAGGUGGGGAUGACGUCAAAUCAUCAUGCCCCUUAUGCUUAGGGCUACAC
rnacentral:rRNA from 1 species